AUACGGAGGGUGCGAGCGUUAAUCGGAAUUACUGGGCGUAAAGCGGGCGUAGGCGGUUUGUUAAGUCAGAUGUGAAAGCCCUGGGCUCAACCUGGGAACUGCAUUUGAAACUGGCGGGCUAGAAGAUGGUAGAGGGAAGUGGAAUUCCGGGUGUAGCGGUGAAAUGCGUAGAUAUCCGGAGGAACACCAGUGGCGAAGGCGGCUUCCUGGACCAAUAUUGACGCUGAGGUACGAAAGCGUGGGUAGCAAACAGGAUUAGAAACCCCAGUAGUCC
rnacentral:rRNA from 1 species